rnacentral:tRNA from 1 species
ACCAUUUUAGUAAAAGUUAAUUAUAUCAUUUUGAUGUGGUGGGGUUUUAUAAUGGUA